UACGGAGGGGGCAAGCGUUAUUCGGAAUUAUUGGGCGUAAAGGGUGCGUAGGCGGCUAGAUGUGUCAAAGGUGAAAUCCCUCGGCUCAACUGAGGAACUGCCUUUGAAACUGUCUGGCUUGAGGCCGGGAGAGGGUAGCGGAAUUCCCAGUGUAGCGGUGAAAUGCGUAGAUAUUGGGAGGAACACCAGUGGCGAAGGCGGCUACCUGGACCGGUUCUGACGCUGAGGCGCGAAAGCGUGGGUAGCAAACAGG
rnacentral:rRNA from 1 species